AGACUGCAGGCUGCCCCUACACCCACACUAUGGUGCUCUGUGUGCUCUGUGCAUGUGGCUGAAACUGUCUGUACACCUGUGGCUCUUGUAGGUAAAAGCUGAAAAGAGACGGAUGACUGUUAGCUGGUGCAGAGGAGGCUGCAUUACUGCAAGGUGCACUAAACUUGCAAGUGUUGACACAGAAAAUGGUGCAUGUCAGUUACAGCAG